rnacentral:rRNA from 1 species
AGUUGCUAGUUUAAUAUACUAACAAGGCGAUGAUCUGUAGUUGUUCUGCAAGGAAGUACAACCACACUGGGACUGAGAUACGGCCCAGACUCCCACGGGAGGCAGCAGUGGGGAAUUUUGGACAAUGAGCGUAAGCUUGAUCCAGCAAUACCACGUGUGCGAUGAAGGUUUUACUGUAAAGCACUUUUUUAGGAAACUAAGGCCCUUUUUAAGGGCUUGAAUUUAUUCUAAGAAUAAGCACCGGCUAAUUACGUGCCAGCAGCCGCGGUAAUACGUAAGGUGCUAGCGUUAUUCGGUUUUAUUAGGCGUAAAGCGUGUGUAGGCGGUUUAUUGUGAUAAGGGUAAAAUCUUAAAGCUUAACUUUAUUAAGCUCUUUUUACUAAUAAACUAGAACUUAAAUAGAGAUAGUGGAAUUUUGCAAGUAACAGUGAAAUGUGUAAAUAUGCAAAGGAACACCAAAAGCGAAGGCAACUAUCUAAUUUAUUUUGACGCUGAUACACUAAAGCGUGGGGAGCAAACAGGAUUAGAUACCCUGGUAGUCCACGCCCUAAACGUUGUCAACUAAUUGUUUAUACUGCUUUUAGAGGCUUUAUAGAUGAUAUAGCUAACGCGUUAAGUUGACCGCCUGGGGACUACGAUCGCAAGAUUAAAACUCAAAGGAAUUGACGGGGACCUGCACAAGCGGUGGAUGAUGUGGAUUAAUUCGAUGUAACCCGAAGAACCUUACCUACUUUUGACAUGUACAGAAUUUACUUGAGAAAGUGAAGUGCCAUUUUUGGAGCUGUAACACAGGUGCUGCAUGGCUGUCGUCAGCUCGUGUCGUGAGAUGUUGGGUUAAGUCCUAUAACGAGCGUAACCCUUUUUUCAUAUUGCUAAUAUAUAGUACUUUUGAAAGACUGCCAAUGAUUAAGUUGGAGGAAGGUAAGGAUGACGUCAAGUCCUCAUGGCCUUUAUAAGUAGGGCUUCACACGUCAUACAAUGGUUAAUACAAUAUGAUGCAAUCUUGCAAAAGUGAGCUAAUCAGUAAAGUUAACCUUAGUUCGGAUUGCACUCUGCAACUCGAGUGCAUGAAGUUGGAAUCGCUAGUAAUCGCAGAUUAGAAUGCUGCGGUGAAUACGUUCUCAGGUCUUGUACACACCGCCCGUCACACCAUGGAAGUUUAUUUUGUUGGAAUUGGUUUUUUGUUAGACUAACAAGGCAAGGUAAGUAACUGGGGUGAAGUCGUAACAAGGUAGCUGUAUCGGAAGGUGCGGCUGGAUUA